UCACCCAUCGGGGUCACGGAUACCUGCUUUUAU
rnacentral:ncRNA from 1 species